GACGAACGCUGGCGGCGUGCUUUACACUUGCAAGUCGAGCGGUAAGGUUCCUUCGGGAGUACCGAAGCGGGGAAGGGGGGAGUAACACAUGAGCAAUCUGCCCUUCUCAUCGGAAUAACCAUUGGAAACAAUGGCUAAUGCCAAAUAUGACCUCCAUUCGCAUGUUUGGAGGGGGAAAGCUCCGGGGGAGAAGGAUGAGCUCGCGGCCUAUCAGUUUGUUGGGAAGGUAAUAGCUCACCAAGGCAUUGACGGGAAGCCGGCCUGAAAGGGUGACCGGCCACCCUGGAACGGAAACACGCCCCAAACUCCUACGGAAGGCAGCAUUGGGGAAUAUUGAACAAUGGGCGAAACCCUGAUCCACCACCGCCGCGUGAGGGAUGACGGCCUUCGGUUUGUAAACCUCUUUCAUUAGGGACGAAGCGAAAGUAACGGUACCUACAGAAAAAGGACCGGCCAACUACGUG
rnacentral:rRNA from 1 species